UAGGGAAUCUUCCGCAAUGGACGCAAGUCUGACGGAGCAACGCCGCGUGAGUGAAGAAGGAUUUCGGUUCGUAAAACUCUGUUGUUAGAGAAGAACAGCGCAUAGAGUAACUGUUAUGCGUGUGACGGUAUCUAACCAGAAAGCCACGGCUAACUACGUGCCAGCAGCUGCGGUAAUACGUAGGUGGCAAGCGUUGUCCGGAUUUAUUGGGCGUAAAGCGAGCGCAGGCGGUCAAUUAAGUCUGAUGUGAAAGCCCCCGGCUCAACCGGGGAGGGUCAUUGGAAACUGGUUGACUUGAGUGCAGAAGAGGAGAGUGGAAUUCCAUGUGUAGCGGUGAAAUGCGUAGAUAUAUGGAGGAACACCAGUGGCGAAGGCGACUCUCUGGUCUGUAACUGACGCUGAGGCUCGAAAGCGUGGGUAGCAAACAGG
rnacentral:rRNA from 1 species